rnacentral:rRNA from 1 species
UACGAAGGGGGCUAGCGUUGUUCGGAAUCACUGGGCGUAAAGCGCACGUAGGCGGAUUUUUAAGUCAGGGGUGAAAUCCCGAGGCUCAACCUCGGAACUGCCUUUGAUACUGGGGAUCUGGAGUCCGGGAGAGGUGAGCGGAACUGCGAGUGUAGAGGUGAAAUUCGUAGAUAUUCGCAAGAACACCAGUGGCGAAGGCGGCUCACUGGCCCGGAACUGAUGCUGAGGUGCGAAAGCGUGGGGAGCAAACAGG